UGGGCUGUAGUUGGGUGCAAGGCUGGGG
rnacentral:piRNA from 1 species